GGCUCUGCAUUGCUAAUGUCUCUUCACUUUGUUGUUGUUGUAGCGUCUAUAAAAUUGUGCGCGAGUUUGUUAAGCGAAUCAAUCGCAAUUGAAGUGUCGAAGCGUUACAAGCAAUGAAAGCAUAUUUGUUGUUAUUAUUGGCGGCUGUAUGUUUGUACGUCGGCAGCGAAGCCAGGUCACCACAGGUCUGUGGCUAUACCACGCUCGAUGGCAAAAUGGUGUUUUUACAUUAUUUCCCCGGCAUAAAGGAGGGAGAGGACUACAUCGAUAAUGGCAGCGGAACCGACGGCGUGUGCUUGCAAAGAGCUGUGUGCCAAGAGGACUACUCUACGAAGAUCGAGUCCUGUAAUGAUUACAAAGUGGAUUGCAAUAACCGCGGUAACGUCGAAACCGUAUUUCCAGCGUGCUGUGUGAAGUGUUAAAAGGCAGGGAAGAAUACCAAAUAAAAUAAAUAGCGUUCGAAUGAUACUGAAUUUUUGUCUGAUGCCGAAUUAUCGGAACUAAUAACGAAUGAGCACUGUUAAAAAAUAUUGAAAUAAUGAAUAGAAAAAAAAUAUAGAAUUUGUAAAUUUGA